GGAAGCACGACCGUCGCUGGUGGGCGGCCCGGUCUUCAAAACCGGUGAGGGGGAUGAGAAAUCUCCCUGGUGGGUUCGAUUCCCAUGUGCUUCC
rnacentral:tRNA from 18 species